CCACAACCUCGUACUGAGUCAUGUCGGAGCUUGUUUCAGAACUGAGAAAGCCUUCUUCACUUGAGCUCGAAACUUGGUUGUCUCCUCCUCCAUAUGUGCAAAUAACAGGGUGGAUCUUUCUACGGAAUAGUUGGCCAAUCUGUAACCACAAUAUGUUCAAAAUGCAUCAAAUUCAGACAAUCCCAUUGAGGUGAAAUGCAAUACAUGAGUGAAGCUCUUCUUGGCAGUUCCAUGAAGCUUUCUCCACAUGAAGUUCAAGCGAAGAUCCGAGGAGAUAGCCUUGCAGAGGAAACAUGACAGGUUCUCCAUACUCUUCUGGAUUUGAUUCCUCGGCCUUGAGGCUAGCAGUGUCAGAAAAUUCCCCGAGGCCUGAAGAAAGACAGAUCUCGUGUGUUUAACUCAUAAUC